rnacentral:rRNA from 1 species
AUACGGGGGGUGCAAGCGUUAUUCGGAUUUAUUGGGCGUAAAGGGCGCGUAGGCGGCUUGGUAAGUCAGAUGUGAAAGCCCGGGGCUUAACCCCGGAAGUGCAUUUGAAACUAUCAGGCUUGAGUAUGGGAGAGGGAAGUGGAAUUCCUGGUGUAGAGGUGAAAUUCGUAGAUAUCAGGAGGAACACCGGUGGCGAAGGCGACUUCCUGGACCAAUACUGACGCUGAGGCGCGAAGGCGUGGGGAGCAAACAGGAUUAGAAACCCCAGUAGUCC